UUUAUAUUAUUUUCAUUUCGGAAGUUCACCGAUUCUGCACCCUUUCUUCAAGGAAGAAGUUAUUAUAAACAGGCAAUCUCUGAAUAGGUUGUUUAAUUUUGGAACUAAAAUUUAACCAUUCUGGACUAAAAUGUGAUCCGCCUUCAUUUGACAGUCAAAGAAGGAUUGUAUUGGAAUAUCUCGCUCUUUGAUCGUCGCUGUUAGCGCUCAAAGAAACUUAAACGGGAAUUCAGUUUUAUGAAAACAUCUUCGUUAGAAAAAGCGUUAUGCCUUCAUGAUCUGUCAAACAGAAGCAGUGUUCGGUCCUCGUCAUCCUGGAUCACUAAGGAUGAAAAAAGAUAGAGAAUUAUUUCAGAAGCGUUCAUUUUAUCAAGCGAACACUGUCCGUGACAUUUGUGUGGCUAUGAGGGAAGUUUGUGAACAAGAAAAUGACGACCAAAACGGACUCUUUCAAUAAGUUCUUUAAGCAGUAAAGAUUAUUUCAAAAUGAAGUGUAAUCUCGUCCGGUAUCCAUGUCAGAGCGAUAAAUAACAAAUAAUAAAUCGCUUGAAAUAUCACUAA